UUUGACAAUUAAGAGAUAAAUUAUGGUAUAAAAAUAUGGGAAGGAUAGUAUCUUGUCGGCUAACUGAACUAUUCUGCAUUUAAUGUGUACCGUUUGAUUUUAUGUGUGCUUGAUCGAUCUAACGGCUGAUAUUGAAUAUUCUAGUACAUUCGAUGGUGUAGAGAAAGCUUAAAGGGUCGGAGCUUCAAAAUUUAUCGCCGACCAAGUGGGGAGAAGAAGCACGUGAGAGUUAAUAAAGGUAACUGUUCUCAAAAAAUCUCCUCAUCUGAUAUAUAUAUUCUCUAAUCUUCCAAGGGCUAAGUUUAGUUCAUUGAUAUGUAAAUGAGUAUAGUUUCGUGUGCUAUGUUGUUUUUUUUACAUCAUAUAUUUACGGUGUUUAUAAGAAUUAUAUUUUGUUGAUUAUAAUUUUAGGAUUUUGUGCUAUAUUAAUUUUCUACAAACUUAGAAAAUUAAGGGCUUCGAUUUUGUUGUAUAGGAACUAUUAAUUUGUUGAUAGUUUAUUGUUAGAGAAUUAAUUUUGGAAGAGAGUUUUUGCCAUAAAAUAGACGUAGUUGUGGAAGAGGGAGAGAGGGUUUGUACAUUUUCAUUGUGCAAGAUGUUGGUCUGAAUUUUGUUAAUUUGUAGUAAUAAUUAGGGAUAAGUUGAUAUAUACCUCUUUUUUGUAUCCAUUAAUCAAAAAUACACUCAUAUUAUUUUUCUAUUAAAAUAUACUCACUUUUUUAA